AAAGCAGGGAAAAAGAGCAAUAAUCCCAACUGGCAAUCCAAAAAUAACCAGAUUGGAGGGUGGAAGGAAAAGAAGGAAAGAGGGAAGAGAAAAAUGGAGAGGUAAAUUGCUAUUCUGUAGCCGCAGUUCCCUUGCAAGGAGGAGCAGAGAGGCUUUAUUCUAUGUAUGUGUAAAUACAGUGUUUCAGU
rnacentral:lncRNA from 1 species